rnacentral:rRNA from 1 species
CUACGGGCGGCACCAGUGGGGAAUAUUGCACAAUGGGCGCAAGCCUGAUGCAGCAACGCCGCGUGAGGGAUGAAGGCCUUCGGGUUGUAAACCUCUUUUAGCAGGGAAGAAGCGGAAGUGACGGUACCUGCAGAAAAAGCACCGGCUAACUACGUGCCAGCAGCCGCGGUAAUACGUAGGGUGCAAGCGUUGUCCGGAAUUAUUGGGCGUAAAGAGCUCGUAGGCGGUUUGUCACGUCUGCUGUGAAAAUCCAAGGCUCAACCUUGGAAUUGCAGUGGGUACGGGCAGGCUAGAGUGCGGUAGGGGAGAUGGGAAUUCCUGGUGUAGCGGUGGAAUGCGCAGAUAUCAGGAGGAACACCAAUGGCGAAGGCACAUCUCUGGGCCGUAACUGACGCUGAGGAGCGAAAGCGUGGGGAGCGAACAGGAUUAGAUACCCGCGUAGUC